UAAAUGGACUGGCUUGAUCGUGAAUGUUCCCCUGAUGUUCUCAUACUGAACGCCUGACACUGCCACUGCUGAUGUUUGAUUUGUACAGGUUCUUUUGUCACAAUAGAACUGGUCUAUCAUAAUAGGUGUUUGAACUUCAGAGACUUGUAUGUUUGAGAACCUUACGUCUUGAACCAGCCCUAUACCACCCUGCAAGGAGAAUUCAGUUUGUUUAGCUCAGUGUAUGCCGUCAGUGUUGAGACUGUUCUCAGGGGAGGAUAUUGUCAGGUCGUGGACCAGCACUCCUUGACAGUUGUCGAACUUGAGAUGGCACUGUGAGCUGUUGACAAUAGUGAUACCAGCCACUACGACGUUGGAACUACCAUAAAACCUCAAUGCCUGCAUAAGAGUUUAACCUGUGGCAUCCUCUCAAGCUCCUGAUUGUACUGCAAGAAUAUAUCCAAGGAAUGAAGCAUACUGUACACUUUACUCACGAGUGGGGAUGGAUAACUUGGGCACCAGAUUUUGUGGAGAAACAAAACCACCAAUAUCCUUUGUAGCAUAUAUGCUCUCCUGUGGUCCAAGAGAUCACGUGCAAUUAGAGCGCGAGUGUGUCCAAUAUGGCAGCUAAUCCAAAGAAGAUGCAGAAUACUCUACCAGAAAAUGAUUAACCUAAGCGAGGCCACCUUGCCGAUGUACGGAAUUACCUACUCCUGCUCCAGUUGGGUGAAACAACUCUGUUCUGUUCAAAGAAACGAUGAGCUCGUGGAACAUUUAUGCGGCUCUGUCAUGGCCGUGCAUGCAGUGCAGUUAUGUGUGCCUGGGCCCACUUUUCGACCGGUUGCAAAAAACCAAAGGCAAGCAUGUGAUCGCUGACCGGACGAGCUAGCAGCUAGCUCAUGCUAGGCCGUUCGAGAAGCAUACGCUCGUAGAUCGACUGUGUGACACGUCAGGGGAGCCAAGCCCCAACGGUUUCGAGCUCACGCUACAACGUUGUACGUCUAAGGUGAAUCUCGAACCAACAACUCCUCCGCUAGGGUUUACCCCUUGCUCCAUC